GUCCUAGCCCUAACGAUCAGGACUUGGGUGCAUCCCGACGGGAUGCGUCCCGUAGCUAACGCGUUAAGUCCUGCGCCUGGGGAGUACGGUCGCAAGACUGAAACUCAAAGGAAUUGACGGGGCCCGCACAAGCGGUGGAACAUGUGGUUCAAUUCGACGCAACGCGAAGAACCUUACCUGGGCUUGAACCGCUACUGACCAGUGGUGGAAACAUCGCCUUCUCGCAAGAGACAGUAGUAGAGGUGCUGCAUGGCUGUCGU
rnacentral:rRNA from 1 species